rnacentral:rRNA from 1 species
UGAGGAAUAUUGGGCAAUGGACGAAAGUCUGACCCAGCCAUGCCGCGUGAAGGAUGAAGGCGUUCUGCGUUGUAAACUUCUUUUAUCAGGGAAGAAACCGAUUUUAUCUAAAGUCGUUGACGGUACCUGAGGAAUAAGCACCGGCUAACUCCGUG